CCCAGGUAGGGGCUGUUCCUUCAGCCCCAUUUCCAGACUGAAGACAAAUAGUAACAGAAAUGCAUCGAAAAUACAACAAGGAAUGCAUGAGGUAAAGCUUUGUUGUUCUAAGCCACUGAUAUGUUUGGGGUUGUUUGCUAACAUUGUAAAAACUGACUGAUACACUUUCUCCUUCUUAAACCCAGUUUUUAUUUCUCUACCAACUAGGGUGACCAAAUUUUCAGAAAGCCAACCUGGGAUAUAGCCAGACCAAACAAUAUAUUUUAUGACCUUAUCACAAAUGUAUACAGAACAGGUUGCACAUUUAGGUCACAUUUAAGUCACUUGGAGUGAUGGAACAAUGGCUAUCUACCGUGCUAAACCACAAAACACAGUUGCCAACAUCAGCAGUAAGAGGACAAAUCCGUGACAGCAACUCCAGCAGGACUUUUGCUUUCCAGAGAAGAAUUCCCUGGGAUGCUGAACCAUCAGUGCUGAAACCAGGACAGUUCUAGACAAGCUGGAAGGUUGGCCACAAUAAGACCAACCCUCUCAGCAUGUUUCCUCAUGUGGCUGUUUGCCAAGACACAGCUGGAACACCUGUGGCUUAUUUCAUCUUCUAUUGUCACCUUUGGCUUCAUCUUCUAGAGCUCUAAGGUUAGUCACCAGGACCCCUGGACUCCAAAGUCUAAAGAGGUUCUCUUUUCAGAGGAACAUAUUACAACACUAAUCUUUUAUUAUUAUUAUUAUUAUUAUUUCAAUAGGUUUUUGGGGAACAGCUGGUGUUUGCUUACAUAAAUAAGUCAUUUAGUAGUGAUUUCCGAUAUUUUGUUGCACCCAUCAUCCGUAUCCAAUGUGCAGUCUUUUAUCACUCACCCCACUCUCAUCCUUUUCCCAGAGUCUCCAAAGUACAUUGUAUGAUUCUUGUGCCUUUGUGUCCUCAUAGCUUAGUUCCCACUUGUGAGAACAUAAAAUGUUUGAUUUUCCAUUCCUAAGUCACUUCAUUUAGAAUAAUAGUCUCC
rnacentral:lncRNA from 1 species